rnacentral:misc_RNA from 1 species
GAACUGCGAUAAGUAAUGUGAAUUGCAGAAUUCAGUGAAUCAUCGAGUCUUUGAACGCACAUUGCGCCCCCCUGGCAUUCCAGGGGGCAUGCCUGUCCGAGCGUCAUUGCUGCCCUUCAAGCCCGGCUUGUGUGUUGGGUCGUCGUCCCCUCCGGGGGACGGGCCCGAAAGGCAGCGGCGGCACCGCGUCCGGUCCUCGAGCGUAUGGGGCUUUGUCACCCGCUCGAUAAGGACCGGCCGGGCGCCAGCCGGCGUCUCCAACCUUUUUUUCUCAGGUUGACCUCGGAUCAGGUAGGGAUACCCGCUGAACUUAAGC